AGCUGUAACCUGUGGCCGUGUCAGUGGCGGUCUCGUAGGCGAAGCAAGUACAACACUACUAAGUUGUUUUGUGGCAUUAUGAGAUCAAGGCUCCAAAUUUACUCUCUCAUUUGAGUAUCUUACCUAGUUAUUUUCCGAUCUCAUUUUGCUCUUUUGUAGCUUUGGCAACUAUGUGUGUGUUUUCUAUAACUGUAUGUUUUAGAGAUCCCGACAAUUUGGCUGCAACCGUUCUAAUUUAAUGUACCCUGUGGAAUUCAUGGUCUCCGACACCAUUUGACACGUUCGAUCUGUGAUCAAGAACGCUAGUUAAUCUCAGCCUACACUCUAAAAAUUAAGGGCUCAACGGUUCUUCUAAGAUCCUCAUAGUUCUUCGAAUAACCUUAAGAUUCUUGGCACUGAAAAUGGCCCUCAAAAGGUUCUUCCAAGAACCCCAUAGCAGGUAGGGUUCAUUGAGGAACCACCUCAGUUGGUGGGGGUUCUUGCAGGAACCUAACUUCCAAACUGAAACAUUUGGCUUUGAAUUUGGAAGGACAGCAGGUGAAGGCACUUAACUAAAACAUGUAAAGAUUUCCUCAAUUUAAGAAAAUGGACACAAUACAAUGGAUAUCAAUCAACAAAGAGUUAUACAGACGAGGAGGCAUACAAAGGUAUGUCAUUUGGUAUGUUAUGCAGAUCAGACUUACCAUCCUCCUACCUUACCUCUUCAAUUAAUAUCCCAUAGGUCUCUACAUUAUGGAAACGGAUUCACAGACAUCACCCUUCCUACACCUCUGAAUAUAACAGGAAACCUGUUCUAUCACCAUGCUAUGCAAACUCAUUCUGGCUAUAGAUACGGAGAACAUCUACACAUUAACAUCACCAUGCCAGAAGACACUUUACACUUUAAAAGGGUUCUUCAAAGAAUUUAUAUUGUUUCAAUUUGAAGAACCCCUAAAGGAUACUCCAGGAACCUUUUUCUUUUAGAGUGUAUGCUGCCCUUCAGUCCCUAGACUUUUUGGCCCUGACGGGGACAUGGAUCACCCCAGAAAACACUACUUCAGCUGCUCUCCCUUCAUCUGACUACGCGUUCUCUCAUAGUCAGAGCAUCUGAUCGUCGGGUUGGAUCCUGGGAGCUACUAAUUUCUCCUCUGAGAUUUUCUUCUCCCUCACUCAGUCAGCUGUACAUCUCUUCAUUUGAAUUCCAUGCCGUCACUGUCACUUGUCCACUCAAGCUUAAAAUAGUUAUUUAUUUCCCACCAGGUGCCCUUAGAGUUAAUCAAUAAACUUGACACCUUGAUAAGCAAA